UCAGCCAUUGGACAUGUUGUCCUAUUCAGUACCUCCUGAGAUGUGUUCUGUCAUUAGUCACUCUUGGCCUACUCUUUCCCCCUCAGGCUUUCUGGAAGGGAUACAAACAGCGCCAGGAAUAUCUACACAGACAACAAGUGUUUGCUCGCAACGUUGACUCUGUUGUGAAGGUAAAUAUUGCUUUUGGCCACAACAAGUGCUUGACUUAUACAUUCCCUCACACCUUGUCCUGGAUCUAGAAGAUAAAACUGUUUACCAGAGAUGUGCGAGCCUUGCAGGUCAGUCCUGGGGUUGGAGCACCUUCAAGUGAGUUAGUUGAUGUGCUGCCGUGAUGGUCUCCUGUCCUCUCUGUGGUUAAAAGAAUCAAAUGUAAAUGUGUUUUUGGUACCUGGCUCUUUGUCUGGAAAAUCCCAAUUGAUUUUUAAAGCUAGGAUGCUCUCCCUGCUCUAUCCAGCCUGGUUUCAUGUCCCUCUGAAUGCAUUUGCUAUCAGUACUUAGAGUGUUCAAACAUUACCAGCAGAAAAGCUUAGGUGUGAGGUAGAUGUUAAAGCCUGUGUCCCGGUGAACAAAUAGCUCUGAUCUACAGAAAGGAAAGGCACUGUGGGGGCCACUCUUAGCUAAAAGGAAAAGUUUGCACAACAGAAAAGAAAAAUGAACUUGUAGACAACUUGGAAAUCUAGAUGAUAAUCAGUAAGAACCGGAAAGAAAUUGAAAUGAAUAAGUUGGAAGACUUUGAAGUUGUGGGAGCAGAGAGUGAGA
rnacentral:lncRNA from 1 species